rnacentral:rRNA from 1 species
GACGACGCUGGCGGCGUGGAUUAGGCAUGCAAGUCGAACGGUAUCAUCCUUUCGGGGGUGAGAGAGUGGCGAACUGGUGAGUAACACGUAGGUUAUCUACCCUCAAGACGGGGACAACCCAGGGAAACUUGGGCUAAUACCGGAUGUGAGCAACUUUUAGUUGUUUGAAAGGUGGCGUAAGCUGUCGCUUGGGGAUGAGCCUGCGUCCUAUUAGUUAGUUGGUGAGGUAACGGCUCACCUAGGCAAUGAUAGGUAGGUGGCCUUAACGGGUGGUCGCCCACACUGGGAUUGAGAUACGGCCCAGACUCCUACGGGAGGCAGCAGUCGAGAAUAGUCUACAAUGGUCGGAAGACUGAUAGUGCGACGCCGCGUGAACGAUGAAUCCCUUCGGGGUGUAAAGUUCUUUUAUAUGUGAGCAGUGCUUCUUAUAUUAACAGUAUGGGGAGAGAGAUAUUAGCAUAUGAAUAAGCAACGGCUAACUCCGUG